rnacentral:rRNA from 1 species
CAUGCCUCGUACGGCGAGUGAGCGGCAAAAGCUCAAAUUUGAAACCCUCGGGAUUGUAAUUUGAAGAUUUGGCAUUGGAGAAAGCUAACCCAAGUUGCUUGGAAUAGUACGUCAUAGAGGGUGACAACCCCGUCUGGCUAACCGUUCUCCAUGUAUUGCCUUAUCAAAGAGUCGAGUUGUUUGGGAAUGCAGCUCAAAGUGGGUGGUAAACUCCAUCUAAAGCUAAAUACUGGUGAGAGACCGAUAGCGAACAAGUACUGUGAAGGAAAGGUGAAAAGAACUUUGAAAAGAGAGUGAAAUAGUAUGUGAAAUUGUUGAUAGGGAAGGAAAUGAGUGGAGAGUGGCCGAGGUUUCAGCCGCCCCUCGUGGGCGGUGUACUGCCGACGCCGAGUCAUCGAUAGCGAGACGAGGGUUACAAAUGGGAGCGCCUUCGGGCGUUCUCCCCUAACCCUCCACACUGCCACCGACGACAUAAUCCACCCAUUUCACCCGUCUUGGACCCCCGGAACAA